GUGUGUGGUUCAAGGAUUAAUUUUUAUGCCUAGGAAUAUCAUUACUAGAAAUAUGAUUCAUGAAGAACAUAACACUGCUCUAGUUCAAUAUUCCAAACCACAAUAUUUUAUUAGUUGAAUGGUAAAAAUACACAUCAAAAUAUGGUUAAAGAACUAUAACAAUCUAAUUAAGAUAGCAUAUACCAAAGAAAACAACGAUUAUUUUCCUUGAUUGAUAAAGGAAAAGCCGUGAACAGCAACAGCGAACAGCGAACAACGAAGUAAUGAACAUCAAGUGGAAGCAAACAAUACAAGUGAUACAAAUGGAGAAGUGAAUAGCAACAAUAAUUGAAGGAAGAGACAACCAAAACCACUAACAUAAAGAGCAGUUGGAGAACACAGCCACUGUGAAAGUGUUAUAGAGGCAUAUCAAUUUAGAAUCCAAAACAAAAGUAAUACACAAGCAAACAUGCAAUUUUAGAAUCUAAAGUGUUAAGAGUCAUAUCACUGAACACUUGGCGUGCAUGAAUUUAUUAAACAAUAAUUAUCACAAUCCAAGCAAAUCAAAUGCACGAAUUCCUUAAUUUUAAGCACAUCAAACCAAAAUCAAUCAAGAAUUAUUUACAAAUCAUCAAUAACACCAAACUCAAGAACUAAAAAAACAUAUUCAAAGUUCACUAACACUUUACAAAGCAUGCCUAUUAACGGAAAGGAUAAGACAAAUCCUGAAAAAAUCAAUCCACAAGCUCUGAGGCCAAAGUAACUCAUUAAGUCCUUAACUUAUACAAUAUUAAAGGCAUUAAUAUUUUAAAAAAAAAGAACACAAGCUAAUAAGAAAAAGUAAAAAAAACCAAUAUGAGUAACUAAGAGAGAAUUAGGGAAUAUUCAAAUAAAGUUUGCCCAAUUUAAUUCUUUGGUUGAUAUGUAUGCUAAAUGUGACAGAAUCGGGGAAGCAAAUAGGAUUUUUUCAAAUUUGGCUCUUCAAAGUUCAGUUCCUUGGACAGCCCUGAUGUCGGGUAAUGUUCAGAAGGGACACCCUGAAGAAGGUAUAAAGCUAUUCAUUGAGAUGCAAAGAGCUGAAAAGACUGCAGAUGCAGCUACCUAUGCCAGCAUCCUAGAAGCUUGUGCAAAUUUAGCCUCACAGGCUCUGGAAAAGCAGUUACACUCGCACAUAAUCAUAUCAGGGCACAUAUUGUGUUUUUAAUCAGAUCAGGGCACAUAUUGUGAAUUAGGGAGUAUACAAAUCACAUGUACAAAUUCUUCAAUUUUGAGUACAGCAGUCCAAAAUCAAUCAAGAAUUAUCAUCCAAAUCAUCAACAAUACCAAACUCAAGAACUAAAACAUGUUCAAAGUUCACUAACUAAAGUUAAUUCUAAUUUGAAAAUCCUAAUUCAAACUAAGCUAAAUCUAAAAAUUCAGAUUCAAUUAAAUGCAAACUAAAUCCGAACAACAAAAUCAGAAUUAACAUAGAAACAUAGAAACUUCAUCAACUACAAGAUCAGAAAAAAGAAAAUGAACCCUGGUGCGAAUUGACAAGAUGAGUUAUAGGGAGAGGGGGAUGCUAGUUGAACUCAGAAUUGGAGCAGCUAGCAGUUGCAAUGAGCAGAGGGGAUCAAUGCGGUGGCGCAAUAGAGGUUGCCAGGAUGACGCUGGCAGUGGCUGUGCAAGGAGGGUUGACGCACAGGAAGCAGUGGCAGUUAACGAGGGGUGCGGUGGGUCGUGGCUUAGUGGUCAAGGAUAGAUAAAGACAAAGGAAGAAGGCCGGAAGUGUGGCAACCAAGGUUCUGAAAACCGGAUCGGUCAUCAAACCGCUCUAGUUACUGGUUCACUAGUUUACUAGUCCAACCAGUCCAACCGUGGUUCAACCGGAAAAACCGUUCCAUGAUAAAAUAAUAAGUAAAUUAUAAAUAAACAUAAUAAAAUAUCUUUCAAAUUUAAAACCCUAUACAAACUAUCACCAACUAAAUGUAAUUAAUCAUCAAAAUAUGCAAAAUAUGCAAAAUAAUUGCAGUGCACAAGUUAAAGAUAGCCAAUAUUACCAUAACGUAAUUGAGUCAAAAAGUAAAACAAAACAGGCUCUUUUAAUUCUUUUAUGCUUGUAGGCUUUAAUAUAAUCAUUAAUAUAAUCAUUACCAUGCAGAGGAACUUUCCUGAAGGAAUUUAUGGCAACCAAAAUAGGCCCUGCUUUUGUCUGAAUUGUACAAGAUAUGAUUAACAAGGUUAAAUAUUGAAGUUAGUUAAUCAGACCAAACAAGAAUAUUUCCCAGUUGUCUCACUGAGUCCAGCCAAAUGGAAAAAACAUCACUGUGUACUAUUGUAAUUUUAGAUCAUAUCUUACUUUCCCAUCAGGCAGUGAAACAACAGACUCAGUUCCAGAAGAUGUUGUUAUCUUCACCAGCUCCUAAUUCCCAUUUGAAAGUUGGAG